ACAGCCAUGAUUCAGCAAUUGAUGUACAUAGGGAACCAUUAGAGGAGUCCUUUUAGAGCAGGCUUUGUCAUGAGUCAGGUUCUGUGCUACACUUUUACAGGCUCCAAUCCUGGAAUAAUCCUUCAUCUUUACCUACCUGCUUCCUGAGGCAUCAAGUCCAAUGUCAUCAGCAGACUUGUAGGAUCUUAUUGCAACAUAUUUCUGCUUACCAUCCGAUUCACCUCAUUAUUCACCAAGUACUCUGAGCUUCUGCAACUCUCAAAGAUUGGGGAAAAGACAACCAUGUAAGGAAAAUGGCUUUGGAUGCAGGCUGAAUGCAUUGAAUUCUUUCUUUUAGGUUUAAUAUCACUGUGACAGUGUGCCAUUUACCAGGGCUAAAUUGAAUACAUAUGGAUUUUUAAUUGUACGAAGUUGCUGUCUGAGAACUCCAUCAUGAACCAGAUGCCCACUGCACAAGAUGUUAUACAACACAGAAGAAAAAAAUGAUCCUCGCUAUUCUUCCCCUGCCCUGCUUUGGGCCCACUGUACCUGAAGGUGCCCUUGCAGCUGGCAGCCCAGAGGACUGCCACCCUCUCGUCUUCAUUGCACAGUGAGCAAGCCGUGGUGUCAUGAGGACAGCUGGAGCACACUCCUGGCUGCCUCCCAAGCCCUUGUGGAGCCAGGCAGCUCCUGUUGUGCCACUCUCCCCGGCAGCAAGCCCCCCCUUUAGGGCUCGUCAUUGCCCUACUUCUGCACAUCCAGUCUGUUAGAGGUAUCCUUAGACCAGGAGUGAUCACCAUUUUGUGUUCCUCAGGGAUUCAUGUCAGCUGGCUGCUGGUUGCUUUCACCUUGUCCUGCUCUCUGCUUCUACUUGCCUUAUCACUGUGGCUUCUUUUCUACAGCUGCUUAUUUUGAAGAUUUAACUGGAAAUUAUGUGGCACAUUAACUUCACAUUAACACUCUGUGCAGGGAUCAAUUUUGUUCAGGUCAAGCGAUGAAUUCAAGUGAAGUUCAUGGGAAUUGGAACCAAGUUAUCUUUUAUGAUUGUUCACUAAAUAUGUAUAAUCCUGAGAAACACUCCCUAAGCUAGAGGGAUUCACUUCCUAAUGAAAGAUGUGGUCACUUUGUGCCUGGGGAUGAGAAACAGCCAUAAUGUUUUCACUGCAGGCUGCUGUCAGCAUGACGGGGUAAAGAGACAGAGUCCCCAGCAUGGUAGCACUGCCACUACCAUAUGUGUGCACACAGGAUGGGGAUUUGCUGUCCCAGACCAAUGGGAUUUUGGUCAGAAUAGCUGUAUGCACAGUGGGGUAGGGCAUUCUGAGGGUAGUGUAUCAGCAAUCCUGUGCUGAUAAAGAGGUUCUGGACAAAGCCAUAAACAGAAAUAAAAUACAUCACUGCUCACCACUUCUUUCCUUCAGUCAAAUAAACAAGUUUAUGCCUCAGCUACUAACUCACCAUUGAAUUUAUCCAGAGAUCUAAACAAAACCAUACUAACUUGACACCACAAGACUACUUUCAAGCAAAACAAUCCCUACAGAUAUGACUUGAAGAUAGAAUUAAUUCAUUUAAAUAUGAGACCUUUAUUAUAUAGCAGUUGUUUCAACAUAGAAAUAUAAUGUAUUUUGAUACAUUAAUCUCAGAUUAUCAACAUAGUUCAUACAUAGUCUAUAUGUUUGUGACUGAAUGUUCCCUGUUCUGUACUUUAUAAACCUCUCUCCAAAGAGAUGCAAUGUAGUAAGACAAGUAGCAGUUCACCUCUACUAAGGAAGCUCUGUAUUUCCAAUGCUGUAAAACAAAUCAUUGCCAUUAAUCUGAGCCAUAUCCCUGUUACCUUCCCUGAUGGCAAAUCCUGCAGAUGAGAGAGAGGAAUAAUACGUGAAACAUGAGUGGUCACAGUUAGGGUUCAGAAGGGUAAGCUUUCCUCCAUCUUCAGCAUGCACACACUUGACCACACAGCGCCUGGACACAUAGCUCAGGCCCCCCACCUGGAUUUGUUACGAUCAAGAAGCAUAUGCAUAGUUCAGAACCAACCUACUCAUUUUCUGCAGCAUCCAGUAUAGGUUAUGUGAAAUAUUAAAAUAUGUAAUUUUAAAUGCAUGCCCUUUAUUGCUUUAUAACUAAGAAACCAGAUCUUUUCCCACUGACUUUCCAUGCAACUUUUCCCUGUUCUCAUAUCCCUUGUGGCUCUUAAGUGAGCAAAGGCACCAGUAUUAAAGUUUAUAAGAUAUUUAUAUAAAUCAUAUGGUUGGUGAGUAUUAAAUCUGAUUUUUCUCAAUAACCCGAGGGGGAAUAUUAAAAUAUUAAAAUUGUUUGAAUUUUUAAAACACAAAUGGGGUUUUGAAUAGUUUAGUCUGAAGCCUCGACUCUUGUAUGCAAAUAUAUACUGGCUGAAGAUAGAGUCUUUGAAGUUUUAAUCUUGUUAUUCACAUCUAGCAAGACAAAUGGCAGGCUUAAUAGAAAGUCUGUUCUGAAAAAUUGCAAACAGAGAAUUGUGGAAAAAAUUAGUUUUAUCUUCAGUUUUCAUCCCAUGAUUUAUAUCUUUAGAAGGGUAUAUCUCUUGUUCUAAAUUGCUGAUGUCAUAAUGCAAAAAUUCUCAGAUUUGCCUCAUGGUAUUGCAAACUUAAGAACCAUCUUUGCUUCUGUAUUUCAAUAUAUUUGAUUGUGAACACUUUGAAACCUUACAUCACUUUCUUGUACCAGAAAACUUCCUCUCAGCCUCUUAAUGCACUUUUCAGGAAUUCCUUUUGGUUCCAUAUUCUGUCUUUGUCAUCAAGCAUGCGCUAAAUACAACACUUAGAGGUGUGGAUCAGUGCAGCGUAGUCUCCCAAUUCUAGUUAAUACAUAAACACCAUUUGCCUUGAUGAGGAUGGUUCUGAGAUGUGCAAGGAUAUGUGUAGAAUAGCUAGAGAAGAGGUAGCCAUGUAGUCAAAAAGGAUAUUUGCUUUAGGCUCUGAUUAAGUCAAUUCUUGGGACAGAGUUGUGCUUGCAAACCCACGAUUACUGUAAGGCUGAGUUUUCUCAAAAAAGGGAUAUAUUUGCAUAAUGUUUGGACCAUCUUAUUGCCUGACUUGUGGGUAGAUGUGCAUAUGGAUAAGUAAAAUAAAUUGCAACAGAAAUGUACUAUGAGAAACAAAGUUGUAUUUUUGCAGAACUAAUUUUCUGUAUUUAAAGGUAGUUGUGUAGUCAUAACAAGGAGAAAUGCUAAGU